CUUUUCAUCACAUGCCUCUUUCUCCAACCCCUGAUUUUCAGCAGAGUCAGGGGCUGUAAUCACAUCUUUUCGGAAGAUUUUACUUAUCCUUUUACCAUCUUGGAAUUCCCAGCAACCUUGUGGGAACUACUAAUCUGAGUAGACUGUUGCCAGCUAUACUAUGCCUCCUCUGCAAUUUGAUUGUACAGAAAGUUCCCUAACAUCUGCAUUGCUAAAUUUAACUCUCUUCUGUGUUCCAGGGCCCUUCUGCUACUGGCCUUGCUCACCCAUACACGUGGAGCUGUUCCGAGGUGAACCCAUAGGUUCAACAGCAAAAGGAAGCAACAACAGCAGAAAAAGACACAGAGUUGGGAAGAAGGAGGUUCUCUCCAGAGACGUCUCCAAUGAGGACCUGACUUUCUUCCCUGCCCUAAGGACCAAGCAGCAUGCAUCAGAGUCCUAAGUAUUUUCUGAAAAAAGGGAACACUGAGGAAACCUGGGAGAGUAUACGGGGUGGACUCUGCCAACAACACUUGUCCCAGCUCUUCACUCUGCCUUCACUAAUUUCAGGUUAACACAAAGUCUCCAGCGUGGCAAGUAAAGGUCUGUGAUUUUGUGACUCUUCACUCUUUCAAAAUUGGUUGCAGAAUCACCUCUUCUGAAAGAGGGUUUAGCCUGGGAUGAAACCUGACUUCCACACUUAAUUGGCCUUCAGGAAAUUUCUUAGCAUGGAGAAGUCUCAGUUUCUUUAUAAUGGGACUAAUAAUAAUUGCAUGUUUCUAAAGAGAGAGACCAUGUGGUAUUUACCUUUUUGUGCCUGGUUUAUUCCACUUCAUGGCUCCCAGUUUCAUUCAUGUGGCAAAACGACAGGAUUUCACUUUUUCUAAGGAUGCACAUUACUCCACUGUGUGUAGGUGCGACACUUUCGUUAUCUAUUUAGUCAACUGCUGAUGGACACUUUGAUCCUACAUCUUGCCUAUUGAGAACACUGCUGCAAUAAACAUGGGAAUUCCAGUAUCUCCUUGACAUUCUUAUUUCCUUUUGUCUGCAUACAUACUAAUGUUGUGAUAGCUGGGUCUUAUGGUAGUUCUCAUUUUAAUUGUUAGAGAAAGCUUUACACCGA
rnacentral:lncRNA from 1 species